GCCCAGACUCCUACGGGAGGCAGCAGUGGGGAAUAUUGCACAAUGGGGGAAACCCUGAUGCAGCAACGCCGCGUGAGUGAAGAAGUAUUUCGGUAUGUAAAGCUCUAUCAGCAGGGAAGAAAAUGACGGUACCUGAGUAAGAAGCCCCGGCUAACUACGUGCCAGCAGCCGCGGUAAUACGUAGGGGGCAAGCGUUAUCCGGAUUUACUGGGUGUAAAGGGAGCGUAGACGGCCAUGCAAGCCUGGAGUGAAAGCCCGGGGCCCAACCCCGGGACUGCUCUGGGAACUGUGCGGCUGGAGUGCGGGAGGGGCAGGCGGAAUUCCUGGUGUAGCGGUGAAAUGCGUAGAUAUCAGGAGGAACACCGGCGGCGAAGGCGGCCUGCUGGACGGUGACUGACGCUGAGGCUCGAGAGCGUGGGGAGCAAACAGGAUUAGAUACCCCUGUA
rnacentral:rRNA from 1 species